UACGUAGGGUGCAAGCGUUUGUCCGGAAUUAUUGGGCGUAAAGAGCGUGUAGGCGGCCCGAUUAGUCCGCUGUGAAAGUCCAGGGCUCAACCCUGGAAUGCCGGUGGAUACUGUCGGGCUAGAGUCCGGAAGGGGCGAGUGGAAUUCCUGGUGUAGCGGUGAAAUGCGCAGAUAUCAGGAGGAACACCAAUGGCGAAGGCAGCUCGCUGGGACGUGACUGACGCUGAGACGCGAAAGCGUGGGGGAGCAAACAGG
rnacentral:rRNA from 1 species